rnacentral:rRNA from 1 species
UACGUAGGGGGCGAGCGUUGUCCGAAGUUACUGGGCGUAAAGCGCGCGUAGGCGGGCCCUUAAGUGGGGGGUGAAAGGUCCAGGGCUCAACCCGGACACUGCCUCCCAUACUGGGGGCCUUGAGUGCGGGAGAGGCGAGUGGAAUGGUCGGUGUAGCGGUGAAAUGCGUAGAUAUCGAUCGGAACACCCAUGGCGAAGGCAGCUCGCUGGCCCGCAACUGACGCUGAGGUGCGAAAGCGUGGGGAGCAAACAGG